rnacentral:rRNA from 1 species
ACGCACGCUGGCGGCGUGCUUAACCCAUGCAAGUCGCACGGAAAGGCCCUGCUUUUGUGGGGUGCUCGAGUGGCGAACGGGUGAGUAACACGUGAGUAACCUGCCCUUGACUUUGGGAUAACAUCAGGAAACUGGGGCUAAUACCGGAUAGGAGCUCCUGCUGCAUGGUGGGGGUUGGAAAGUUUCGGCGGUUGGGGAUGGACUCGCGGCUUAUCAGCUUGUUGGUGGGGUAGUGGCUUACCAAGGCUUUGACGGGUAGCCGGCCUGAGAGGGUGACCGGCCACAUUGGGACUGAGAUACGGCCCAGACUCCUACGGGAGGCAGCAGUGGGGAAUAUUGCACAAUGGGCGGAAGCCUGAUGCAGCAACGCCGCGUGCGGGAUGACGGCCUUCGGGUUGUAAACCGCUUUCGCCUGUGACGAAGCGUGAGUGACGGUAAUGGGUAAAGAAGCACCGGCUAACUACGUG